rnacentral:tRNA from 1 species
GUGAGUAUAGCUCAGUGUUAGAGCAUGUGGUUAGCAUGCACGAGGUCCUGGGUUCAACCCCUAGUACCUUCA